AGCGAAAAUCAAUGGAUAACUGAGCCAAAACCUGAAGUUUCGACCUCUCAAACUUCGAGCUCUGAUUCCUCUCUUACAGUAUCCAAUUUUAAUUGCUUUGACGAUGAUGAUUUCUUUAAAUUCCCUCACAAAUUCCCUGGGUUCGAGUCAAAUGGAAGUGGCGUUUUCGAAUUUGAGUCGAAACCUCAAAUUAUCAAUCUCACGACACCCAAGCCCCUCUCUUCAAACGCCUUUGCUUUCAAAUUUGAAGUCAAACCUCAAAUCGUUGAACUUUCAGCGACAAAACCUCCAAUUUAUUCGAACUCGAGCUGUCAGAAUCGAAAACCGUCGCUAAAAAUCUCGUUACCACAUAAGGU
rnacentral:lncRNA from 1 species